UUUUGAUGAGUUCUAUUUUUCUUUUCUCUUUUUAUUUCUUUUUCCGGAGCAUUCAAAGAGCCUCCAAUUUUUCUUUUCUCUUUUCUUGUAACAAUUUUUCGCACACUUGUCCCUUUGGUAUUAGAUUUACCACCCCAAACUUAGAAUUCACACAGUUUCCAAAAUCCACAACAUUUAUGCCGAGCAAGGGUAGAAGAGAUUAUUAUCUAUUUUUUUUUCUUUUUCUGGCCAUAGGGUAACAUAAGCGGUUUACAAACAAACAAAAUGGUUAAAGGCUCAAAGGGGUUCGCAACGGAUAAAACGUACAAGGGUGGCUGGAAAGGCUCAAGGUUAAACAACAACAAAAAUGCCUCAGUGUGUGUCAUAAUGCAGUGCUAUGUCAGUAGAACGUACGCAAAACCAGAGCGAUAGAGUCAUACCUGGAUUAACUCUCAUGAUGAUCUCUUAGUAUUUGGCUUUUUGUAAUCUCACCAUGUGGGGUAAACUUGCAGGUUCCAAAGCACUCUCUGUGUAAUGUAGCUUCUUUUUGGUUCAGGUGUACCAUACUUCUAUCUCAAUCCAGUUUUCAUCCCACUGUGUCCAACAAUAGUUUUUCUUCGACUGCAUAAAUUUCCAGGGUGCCUCGGGAGCGUGAGUUCGGGUUGUGUCUUUCAUCCACUAACCAUCUUUCCAUCACGCCUCUGGUUUUUAUCCAUCAAUCUGUAACCCAACAUCCAAACAGUUGAAAAUAAAAGAAAUCAAAGGAAAAUUACUUUAAAAAUUGAAAAACCAAAACGGAAAAUAAAUUAAAAC
rnacentral:lncRNA from 1 species